AAUGUACUCCCUCCGUUCUAAAUUACUCGUCGCACAAAUGAAUGUAUCUAGAACUAAAAUACAUCUAGAUACAUUCAUACCCGCGACAAGUAAUUUGAAAUGGAGGGAGUAGUAA
rnacentral:pre_miRNA from 1 species